GCGGCAGGCCUACACAUGCAAGUCGAGCGGAAACGACACUAACAAUCCUUCGGGUGCGUUAAUGGGCGUCGAGCGGCGGACGGGUGAGUAAUGCCUAGGAAAUUGCCUUGAUGUGGGGGAUAACCAUUGGAAACGAUGGCUAAUACCGCAUAAUGCCUACGGGCCAAAGAGGGGGACCUUCGGGCCUCUCGCGUCAAGAUAUGCCUAGGUGGGAUUAGCUAGUUGGUGAGGUAAUGGCUCACCAAGGCGACGAUCCCUAGCUGGUCUGAGAGGAUGAUCAGCCACACUGGAACUGAGACACGGUCCAGACUCCUACGGGAGGCAGCAGUGGGGAAUAUUGCACAAUGGGCGAAAGCCUGAUGCAGCCAUGCCGCGUGUAUGAAGAAGGCCUUCGGGUUGUAAAGUACUUUCAGUUGUGAGGAAGGGGGUAGCGUUAAUAGCGCUAUCUCUUGACGUUAGCAACAGAAGAAGCACCGGCUAACUCCGUGCCAGCAGCCGCGGUAAUACGGAGGGUGCGAGCGUUAAUCGGAAUUACUGGGCGUAAAGCGCAUGCAGGUGGUUCAUUAAGUCAGAUGUGAAAGCCCGGGGCUCAACCUCGGAACUGCAUUUGAAACUGGUGAACUAGAGUACUGUAGAGGGGGGUAGAAUUUCAGGUGUAGCGGUGAAAUGCGUAGAGAUCUGAAGGAAUACCAGUGGCGAAGGCGGCCCCCUGGACAGAUACUGACACUCAGAUGCGAAAGCGUGGGGAGCAAACAGGAU
rnacentral:rRNA from 1 species